CCAUGUGUCCCUAUGGAAUCGCCAUGUGUCCCUAUGGAGUCCCGUUGUGUCCCUAUGGCGUCCCCAUGUGUCCCUAUGGCAUCCCCUUGUGUCCCUAUGGAUUCCCCAUGUGUCCCUAUGGCAUCCCCAUGUAAUCCCCAUGUGUUCCUAUGGCGUCCCCAUGUGUCCCUAUGGAUUCCUCAUGUGUCCCUAUGGAGUCCCCAUGUGUCCCUAUGGAGUCCCCAUGUGUCCCUAUGGAUCCCCAUGUGUCCCUAUGGAGUCCCCUUGUGUCCCUAUGGAGUCCCCUUGUGUCCCUAUGGAUUCCCCAUGUGUCCCUAUGGAGUCCCCAUGUGUCCCUACAGAGUCCUCAUGUGUCCCUAUGGCAUUCCCAUGUGUCCCUAUGGAGUCACCAUGUGUCCCUACGGUGCCCCCAUGUGUCCCUAUGGCAUCCCCAUGUGUCCCUACAGAGUCCCCAUGUGUCCCUAUGGAGUCACCAUGUGUCCCUACGGUGUCCCCAUGUGUCCCUAUGGAUUCCCCAUGUGUCCCUAUGGAGUCCCCAUGGGUCCCUAUGGAUUCCCCAUGUGUCCCUAUGGCAUCCCCUUGUGUCCCUAUGGAGUCCCCAUGUGUCCCUAUGGCAUCCCCAUGUGUCCCUACGGAGUCCCCAUGUGUCCCUAUGGCAUCCCCUUGUGUCCCUAUGGAUUCCCCAUGUGUCCC